rnacentral:rRNA from 1 species
GAAGAAGCGCAAGUGACGGUACCUGCAGAAAAAGCACCGGCUAACUACGUGCCAGCAGCCGCGGUAAUACGUAGGGUGCAAGCGUUGUCCGGAAUUAUUGGGCGUAAAGAGCUCGUAGGCGGCUUGUCGCGUCUGCUGUGAAAUCCCGGGGCUCAACCCCGGGCCUGCAGUGGGUACGGGCAAGCUAGAGUGCGGUAGGGGAGAUUGGAAUUCCUGGUGUAGCGGUGGAAUGCGCAGAUAUCAGGAGGAACACCGAUGGCGAAGGCAGAUCUCUGGGCCGCUACUGACGCUGAGGAGCGAAAGCAUGGGGAGCGAACAGGAUUAGAUACCCUGGUAGUCCAUGCCGUAAACGUUGGGAACUAGAUGUAGGGCCUGUUCCACGGGUUCUGUGUCGUAGCUAACGCAUUAAGUUCCCCGCCUGGGGAGUACGGCCGCAAGGCUAAAACUCAAAGGAAUUGACGGGGGCCCGCACAAGCGGCGGAGCAUGCGGAUUAAUUCGAUGCAACGCGAAGAACCUUACCAAGGCUUGACAUAUACGAGAACGGGCGAGAGAUCGUCAACUCUUUGGACACUCGUAUACAGGUGGUGCAUGGUUGUCGUCAGCUCGUGUCGUGAGAUGUUCGGUUAAGUCCGGCAACGAGCGCAACCCUCGUCCUAUGUUGCCAGCACGUAAUGGUGGGAACUCAUGGGAUACUGCCGUGGUCAACACGGAGGAAGGUGGGGAUGACGUCAAAUCAUCAUGCCCCUUAUGUCUUGGGCUUCACGCAUGCUACAAUGGCCGAUACAAAGGGCUGCGAUACCGCGAGGUGGAGCGAAUCCCAAAAAGUCGGUCUCAGUUCGGAUUGGGGUCUGCAACUCGACCCCAUGAAGUCGGAGUCGCUAGUAAUCGCAGAUCAGCAACGCUGCGGUGAAUACGUUCCCGGGCCUUGUACACACCGCCCGUCAAGUCAUGAAAGUCGGUAACACCCGAAGCCGGUGGCCUAACCCU